GGGGAUUUAGCUCAGUGGCAUAAGCACCUGCCUUGUGAGCAGGUGGUCGUGAGUUCGAUCCCCG
rnacentral:tRNA from 1 species